CACCAUAGCAGGCACUCCUCUUACUCAGAGCCAUGUCCAGAGGCACGAUAUUGCCAGCAUUCCAAUAGUCCUGGUACUCAUCACUGGGGAAGCAGAAGGGAUCCAGACAAAGAUGACAUGGCAGCUUCCUGCAACCAUUUGUGAGCGUGGAACACAGAGCUGUAUUUAAUUUCCUGCUUUCUAUUAAAGAAAAGAGCACAACUCCUCACACACUGAUGAGUUCCUGUGGGGUUCCUACAGCAACUCCAAGCAGGGAAGUCACAGAGGCACUCCGAUGUCCACACAUCACAGCAAAGGUAUUUCUUCGUUUUGCAAAAUAUCAGCUGCAUUCACCAUGGCUCUUCAGAACUUUCAUCAGACACCUAGUUUUAUCUUUAAAGAUCUGGUGUUAUCU
ensembl:lncRNA